UGGGGAAUAUUGGACAAUGGGCGCAAGCCUGAUCCAGCCAUGCCGCGUGAGUGAUGAAGGCCCUAGGGUUGUAAAGCUCUUUCACCGGUGAAGAUAAUGACGGUAACCGGAGAAGAAGCCCCGGCUAACUUCGUGCCAGCAGCCGCGGUAAUACGAAGGGGGCUAGCGUUGUUCGGAUUUACUGGGCGUAAAGCGCACGUAGGCGGACUAUUAAGUCAGGGGUGAAAUCCCGGGGCUCAACCCCGGAACUGCCUUUGAUACUGGUAGUCUUGAGUUCGAGAGAGGUGAGUGGAAUUCCGAGUGUAGAGGUGAAAUUCGUAGAUAUUCGGAGGAACACCAGUGGCGAAGGCGGCUCACUGGCUCGAUACUGACGCUGAGGUGCGAAAGCGUGGUGAGCAAACAGG
rnacentral:rRNA from 1 species